CACGCAGGCGGUCAGGCAAGUUGGUGGUGAAAGCCCUCGGCUCAACCGAGGAAUUGCCCCCAAAACUGCUUGACUUGAGUCCCGGAGAGGGUGACGGAAUUCCCAGUGUAGCGGUGAAAUGCGUAGAUACUGGGAGGAACGCCAGUGGCGAAGGCGGUCACCUGGACGGGUACUGACGCUCAUGUGCGAAAGCGUGGGGAGCAAACAGGAUUAGAUACCCUGGUAGUCC
rnacentral:rRNA from 1 species